UACGUAGGUGGCAAGCGUUGUCCGGAAUUACUGGGUGUAAAGGGAGCGCAGGCGGGAAGCCAAGUCAGCUGUGAAAACUACGGGCUUAACUUGUAGACUGCAGUUGAAACUGGUCUUCUUGAGUGAAGUAGAGGUUGGCGGAAUUCCGAGUGUAGCGGUGAAAUGCGUAGAUAUUCGGAGGAACACCGGUGGCGAAGGCGGCCAACUGGGCUUUAACUGACGCUGAGGCUCGAAAGUGUGGGGAGCAAACAGG
rnacentral:rRNA from 1 species